CAGUCGCCGCGGGAAUACGAAGGGUGCAAGCGUUAAUCGGAAUUACUGGGCGUAAAACGCACGCAGGCGGUUUGUUAAGUCAGAUGUGAAAUCCCCGAGCUUAACUUGGGAACUGCAUCUGAAACUGGCAAGCUAGAGUCUUGUAGAGGGGGGUAGAAUUCCAGGUGUAGCGGUGAAAUGCGUAGAGAUCUGGAGGAAUACCGGUGGCGAAGGCGGCCCCCUGGACAAAGACUGACGCUCAGGUGCGAAAGCGUGGGGAGCAAACAGGAUUAGAUACCCCAGUAGUCCCUGUCUCUUAUAC
rnacentral:rRNA from 1 species